CUGGCGGAGCUGCUGCGGGCGCAUGUCAUCUGUGUCAUCUACGCCGUCGACGAUGAGGACACCCUUGACAAGGUGACAGACUACUGGCUGCCGCUGGUGCGCCAGACACUCGGGGAGGGCCACUCCACGCCAGUGAUCCUGGUCGGAAACAAGGUGGACCUGGUGGAGUACAGCACGCUGGAGGCGGUCAUCCCCAUCAUGAAUGAGUUCGCGGAGAUCGAGACCUGUGUGGAG